CACGUAGGCACCAAGCGUUGUCCGGAUUUAUUGGGCGUAAAGAGCUCGUAGGCGGUUCAGUAAGUCGGGUGUGAAAACUCUGGGCUUAACCCGGAGAGGCCACUCGAUACUGCUGAACUUGAGUACGGUAGGGGAGUGGGGAAUUCCUGGUGUAGCGGUGAAAUGCGCAGAUAUCAGGAGGAACACCGGUGGCGAAGGCGCCACUCUGGGCCGAAACUGACGCUGAGGAGCGAAAGCGUGGGUAGCAAACAGG
rnacentral:rRNA from 2 species